rnacentral:rRNA from 1 species
GAGUAGCGCGACGGGUGAGUACACGUGGGCAAUCUGCCCUUUAGACUGGGAUAAACACCGGGAAACCGUGCUAAUACCGGAUGAGAUCUUUUGUGGCAUCACCGGAAGAUGAAAGGAGGCCUCUCGAAGAAGCUCCCGCUAAAGGAUGAGCCCGCGGCCCAUUAGCUGGUUGGUAGGGUAAUGGCCUACCAAGGCGACGAUGGGUAGCCGGCCUGAGAGGGUGAACGGCCACACUGGGACUGAGACACGGCCCAGACUCCUACGGGAGGCAGCAGUGGGGAAUAUUGCGCAAUGGGGGAAACCCUGACGCAGCAACGCCGCGUGAACGACGAAGGCCUUCGGGUCGUAAAGUUCUGUCAAGUGGGACGAAGGCUGCAUUGUGAACAGCGAUGCAGAUGACGGUACCUAAAGAGGAAGCUCCGGCUAACUACGUGCCAGCAGCCGCGGUAAUACGUAGGGAGCGAGCGUUGUCCGGAAUUACUGGGCGUAAAGGGCGCGUAGGCGGCCGAUUAAGUUAGAUGUGAAAAACCGGGGCUCAACUCCGGGAUGGCAUUUAAGACUGGUCGGCUUGAGGGUGAGAGAGGAAAGUGGAAUUCCUAGUGUAGCGGUGAAAUGCGUAGAUAUUAGGAGGAACACCAGUGGCGAAGGCGACUUUCUGGCUCAUACCUGACGCUGAGGCGCGAAAGCGUGGGAAGCAAACAGGAUUAGAUACCCUGGUAGUCCACGCCGUAAACGAUGAGUACUAGGUGUAGGAGGUAUCGACUCCUUCUGUGCCGCAGCUAACGCAUUAA